rnacentral:rRNA from 1 species
CCUACGGGAGGCAGCAGUGGGGAAUAUUGGGCACUGGGCGCAAGCCUGACCCAGCAACGCCGCGUGAAGGAAGAAGGCCCUCGGGUUGUAAACUUCUUUUGUCAGGGACGAAACAAAUGACGGUACCUGACGAAUCAGCCACGGCUAACUACGUGCCAGCAGCCGCGGGAAUACGUAGGUGGUAAGCGUUAUCCGGAUUUACUGGGUGUAAAGGGCGUGUAGGCGGGAGAGCAAGUCAGAUGUGAAAUUCCAGGGCUCAACCCUGGAACUGCAUUUGACACUGUUUGUCUUGAGUGAUGGAGAGGCAGGCGGAAGGCCGGGUGUAGCGGUGAAAUGCGUAGAUAUACGGAGGAAAACCAGUGGCGAAGGCGGCCUGCUGGACAUUAACUGACGCUGAGGCGCGAAAGCGUGGGGAGCAAACAGGAUUAGAUACCCGUGUAGUC